rnacentral:rRNA from 1 species
CCCGACCUCCAACCCUUUGUUGUUAAAACUACCUUGUUGCUUUGGCGGGACCGCUCGGUUCCGAGCCGCUGGGGAUUCGUCCCAGGCGAGCGCCCGCCAGAGUUAAACCAAACUCUUGUUAUUAAACCGGUCGUCUGAGUUAAAAUUUUGAAUAAAUCAAAACUUUCAACAACGGAUCUCUUGGUUCUCGCAUCGAUGAAGAACGCAGCGAAAUGCGAUAAGUAAUGUGAAUUGCAGAAUUCAGUGAAUCAUCGAAUCUUUGAACGCACAUUGCGCCCCUUGGUAUUCCGAGGGGCAUGCCUGUUCGAGCGUCAUUACACCACUCAAGCUAUGCUUGGUAUUGGGUGCCGUCCUUAGUUGGGCGCGCCUUAAAGACCUCGGCGAGGCCACUCCGGCUUUAGGCGUAGUAGAAUUUAUUCGAACGUCUGUCAAAGGAGAGGAACUCUGCCGAUUGAAACCUUUAUUUUUCUAGGUUGACCUCGGAUCAGGUAGGGAUACCCGCUGAACUUAA